AUUUUGUUCUUUAUUUGUAUUAUUUUCCAGAACAAAUAUCUAACGAGGUUAAAGGAAAUUCGAGCCACUUUGGAGAUCUCUCCGUUCUUCAGAAGUCAUGAGGUCAUCGGCAGCUCGCUCUUAUUUGUUCACGACAGCAGGAAGCGCGCCAAAGUGUGGAUGAUCGACUUUGGAAAGACCACGCCCCUCCCUGACGGGGAGGAACUAACCCACCGAGCAUCAUGGGUAGAAGGGAACAGAGAGGACGGCUACCUUUACGGACUCGACAGCUUGGUGGACAUCUUCUCCUCCAUGGUGGACUCUGAGACUUGAAGUCUGAAGGUUUUGUUUUUGAACCAAGUAAACUUUUGGACACACCACCAUUAAAGCUUCCAUUCAUACUUCACUCUCCUGGAGAAACCUUUGAAACACUGACACUUUAGCUCACGACGCAAACCGUAUGGUCCAGCUCCUCUUAGUUCCUCACAAGUGGAACUACUAACAGCGACAGCGCCUCAGUUCCUCAUAAUUGAGUUAUUUUGUGCUGUGGUUUAAACAUGGGGAAAAAGGUCAAUCUUAUAUAACCUCAUUUUGACAGCAUAACCUUUUACUUAAGAAAUUCCCAUUGAAAAGCAAACAAUACGAAUCUUCUUGCCUAAUACAAACUAAGACCUGUUGACGUACUUUAAUAUUAUAAAUAAAUUCUCCGCAAAGGCCUAAACCAACAAGAGGUUACCUAAUAUUUAAUUGUUAAUGAGAGCCUCAGCAUUCUAUUAUAUUAUGCGCUGUGCUUUAUGAAACUUUUUAACAUUUUGUCACGUUACACUAACAAACUUCAGUGUGUUUUUAUCUGGAUAUCUGACAGACCAACAUGAAGUAACGUAAUCUUGAAGUGUAAGAAAAAUAAAUGUUUUUUUUUUACAUUUUCUGCAAAUGAAAAUAUGAAAUAACGUGCAUCCGUACGUAUUCAGCUUUGAUCAAUCAAAGCUUUGUAGAACCACUUAACACGUCUUUGCUCAACUACUUACUAGAUGUUUUUGCCCAUUCUUUGAAAAAUAGCUUAAGCUCAGUCUGACAGGAUGGAGGCAUCAGUAAAUGCCAAUUUCCAAGACAGAUUCUGAAUUUGUUUUAGGUUAGGACUUUGACUGGGCCAUUCGAACACAUGGAUUUGCCUUGAUCCUGUUUCAUCUCUGGAUGCAUUUUUAAAGUUCCUGCAGGAAGAUUAUACUCAGCCUUUCUUUCAACAAUGUCUUUCUUCGUUUAAAAGGAGACUGAAUCCAAACAUAAGCUCGUCUUCUUACGGUGUUUUUGUAAAAAAAAAAAAAGUUUUUAAAAACAUGCCUUCUUCCAAUUUAUAAUUAACGACUACUUUGUUUUGGUCUUUCACAUAAAAUCUCAAUAAAAUACAUAAAGUUUUGUGGCUGUAAUGUGACAGAAAGUGAAAUAGCUCAAGCCGUAUACUAUACUUCUGCAAGGCACUAUUAGAGCAGUAGUUUGGUGCAGCUUGUUGUUUUGGGCUUCCUUUAAAUUUUUUUUUUCUUUUAGAAAAUCCCAAGAAAUAAAUUUUUUAAAAAUGCAUUUUAUAUAAAUUUGGCAGGACUUUGACUAGAUAUCUAACACACCUCCACUUCUGCUGUCCUGCUUUAUUUUGAUGGUGUUGAAUCAGAAAAAUAAUUCUAGGGCUAAAAAAAAAAGAUCUGACCCAUAUUUGAGCUUAAAAUGGCAAUCUUUAACAUUUCAACCAUGCUUUAUUGUCAAACCUCUAAAUCUCACAUUCAUUUUCACUCAAUAUUUAGUCUCGUCAAUAAUUGUAUUUGCUCUCACUACGAGCAUAAUUGUGAGUUACAAUACUGUCUUGCAGCUACAAAGUGUUUCACUUUCUAGAGCUCUUCCAAUAAUAAUGCUUGAUCCUUCUCAGUCUCACACACACACACACACACACACACACACACACACACACACACACACACAUUGCAUUUAAGGUGACUGCCUUAUCUGAUCUCAGCAGCUGUUUAACAGGUUAAAUAUUUGUGCUGUGAAGCUGCAGCAGCAUGGUAUGUUUACUUGUCAUUAGGAAUAACUGGAUCUGGCAGUUUUUCAGGAAAUGUUCCAAUUUGUUGAUGUCUUGGCUAUUAGUGUGCUUGUGAUUUCUGAAAAUGCAAAGUAGUAUGUAGAUAAUGGAAUAUACACUUGGACCAGGAUAAACAGUUCCAGUGAAUAGUAAUUAUAAUAUAAUAGUUUUGGAAUAAAUGUUAGCCAGUGAUUUGAGGGAAAAGAUUGUUAGCUGUUGUUACACAGCUAAAAAAAAAUGCUCAGAUGCUUAAAUUGUGUUUCUUGUUUGCAGAUUCUUCAUAUUCAAAUAAAAGGAGCUAUUUUUAAAUACCACUAGGUUUUCCGAUACUGUAAAACACAGAAGUACUGUUGUUCAGUGAGGCGUAUGUGCAAGCACUACUGAGCCACGUCGUUCAGCAAUUCAAAUCUAAGAAAUUCAAUUAAAUGAAAAUGUUCAAGAUUGCCAAUUUAAGCAUCGUUAAGCCACAAAAUGUAACUCUGUUUUUAUUGUAUUUUCUUUUCUUUUUUGUUUUAAUGCAAUUUUAAACAUCAAUUUCAACGGGGAACCCAUGGAAAGAGUUAGUACAAUUAAGUGUGUUUAAAAACUACAUAUAAAGAAAAAUUAGCCCAACAGUUUUACACCCAGACAGAGUCAAAGUUAAGCUAGAACAUGUUGUUUGAUUCACAGUCGUCUGGGAAUUACUCACCAUGAGGAGGCACGACAGAGGAAAACAAAGCGCAUUUCCCAGUAGUUUUGAAGUGUUAUGAAUUGUGACAUUAUUAUAACACUUGACACGUUUCUCUUUGGUUGCUCUGGGUAGUUCAUGCGGUGUACAGAAAGAUUUAUUAUUUAGUUUUAUGUAGUUUUGUUUUGGUUUUUACUGUAACAUAGUUGUUGUUAAAUCCUGUGGAACACUUACAGCCAUGAACAAUCCUAUUUAAGCUACACAGUGCCUUGACGUUACAAAGCCAAGUCAGAAAGCGGGAAAAAAAAAUUUUUGGUUUUUGUUUUUAGGUAUAAAUAUGGAUUUCUUUGCUUAGUCUAACAUGGGUGCAUGUUUAUUAUUCUCUUAAAUGUUUAUUACUUUGUAAAUUGUUCUGAUUUUAUUUAAACAACACAAUGUAUUCUGUGGGAGGCUUUAAUUUUUUUUUUUUUUUUUUAAUAAUGGUAUAUCUGGAUUUGUCAUUAAACAUGUUGGAUUUAAAGAAGUAAUCACGGAGUAGGGAAAUUGGGGAUAUGACUUUAAAAAAAACAAUACGCAUUUAAAACAAUAUAUAUAUAUAUAUAUGAGAUUGAUAUGUUUGGUGUUGAUUUUAGAAUCAUUUGGUAGAUGAGAAGGAAAUAACGUUCUUCACAGGUUGGCCUUUAUUAAACAUUUGCUGUUACAGUAAAUAAGGAAUUACUGUAAGUUAACGCCGUGCCUUCUUAAGGAAACAGGUAGACAUCACAAUCGUGUCUGGGCUGUUUUAAUGAAAUAUGCUAACUAUUCAUUUCAGAGCUAGCAGGCAUAAAUAUUGCCUGUUUUCCUUUGUGUGCACUUACAGAUGUGUAAUGUAGGUGUUAAAGGUUUAUAGUGUUGCUGGUUUGUGUAUUUAUUUUUCGGACUGUUCCUUUAAAAAUACAUUUGUGGUGAAACAUG